GAUGAACGCUGGCGGCGUGCCUAAUACAUGCAAGUCGAGCGAACAGAUAAGGAGCUUGCUCCUUUGACGUUAGCGGCGGACGGGUGAGUAACACGUGGGUAACCUACCUAUAAGACUGGGAUAACUUCGGGAAACCGGAGCUAAUACCGGAUAACAUUUGGAACCGCAUGGUUCUAAAGUGAAAGAUGGUUUUGCUAUCACUUAUAGAUGGACCCGCGCCGUAUUAGCUAGUUGGUAAGGUCACGGCUUACCAAGGCGACGAUACGUAGCCGACCUGAGAGGGUGAUCGGCCACACUGGAACUGAGACACGGUCCAGACUCCUACGGGAGGCAGCAGUAGGGAAUCUUCCGCAAUGGGCGAAAGCCUGACGGAGCAACGCCGCGUGAGUGAUGAAGGGUUUCGGCUCGUAAAACUCUGUUAUUAGGGAAGAACAAAUGUGUAAGUAACUGUGCACGUCUUGACGGUACCUAAUCAGAAAGCCACGGCUAACUACGUG
rnacentral:rRNA from 1 species